rnacentral:rRNA from 1 species
GACGUAGGGUCCAAGCGUUGUCCGGAUUUACUGGGCGUAAAGGGCGCGUAGGCGGCCACCGCAAGUCGAUUGUGAAAUCUCCGGGCUUAACCCGGAAAGGUCAACCGAUACUGCGGGGCUAGAGUGCAGAAGGGGCAACUGGAAUUCUCGGUGUAGCGGUGAAAUGCGUAGAUAUCGAGAGGAACACCUGCGGCGAAGGCGGGUUGCUGGGCUGACACUGACGCUGAAGUGCGAAAGCUAGGGGAGCGAACGGG